rnacentral:rRNA from 1 species
GACGAACGCUGGCGGCGUGCCUAAUACAUGCAAGUUGAGCGAUGAAGAUUGGUGCUUGCACCAAUUUGAAGAGCAGCGAACGGGUGAGUAACGCGUGGGGAAUCUGCCUUUGAGCGGGGGACAACAUUUGGAAACGAAUGCUAAUACCGCAUAAUAACUUUAAGCAUAAGUUUUAAGUUUGAAAGAUGCAAUUGCAUCACUCAAAGAUGAUCCCGCGUUGUAUUAGCUAGUUGGUGAGGUAAAGGCUCACCAAGGCGAUGAUACAUAGCCGACCUGAGAGGGUGAUCGGCCACAUUGGGACUGAGACACGGCCCAAACUCCUACGGGAGGCAGCAGUAGGGAAUCUUCGGCAAUGGACGAAAGUCUGACCGAGCAACGCCGCGUGAGUGAAGAAGGUUUUCGGAUCGUAAAACUCUGUUGGUAGAGAAGAACGUUGGUGAGAGUGGAAAGCUCAUCAAGUGACGGUAACUACCCAGAAAGGGGCGGCUAACUACGUG